CUACGGGGCGCUGCAGUGAGGAAUAUUGGACAAUGGGCGCAAGCCUGAUCCAGCCAUGCCGCGUGCAGGAUGAAGCAUCUAUGGUGUGUAAACUGCUUUUGUACGAGAAGAAACACUGCUUCGUGAAGCAGCUUGACGGUAUCGUAAGAAUAAGGAUCGGCUAACUCCGUGCCAGCAGCCGCGGUAAUACGGAGGAUCCAAGCGUUAUCCGGAAUCAUUGGGUUUAAAGGGUCCGUAGGCGGGCUAGUAAGUCAGUGGUGAAAUCUCUCGGCUCAACCGGGAAAUGGCCAUUGAUACUGCUAGUCUUGAAUUAUUAGGAAGUAACUAGAAUAUGUAGUGUAGCGGUGAAAUGCUUAGAGAUUACAUGGAAUACCAAUUGCGAAGGCAGGUUACUACUAAUGGAUUGACGCUGAUGGACGAAAGCGUGGGUAGCGAACAGGAUUAGAUACCCCCGUAGUC
rnacentral:rRNA from 1 species